UUUAGUAAAUAUAUCAUCUCUUUAAUGAUGUCUCAUUGUCCUUUGGGUCCCUCACAAUGCUCAUUAUAGUGCACAUAUUUGAGGCUCUAUUCACACACCUAUGUAACCAACUCUCAAGUCAGGACAGAGAACAAUUCCAUCACCAACCUCUUUGCUCGUUCCUUGCCUACCAUGGGUUCAGCGAACAGUGUGCACAGUGAGAUAAAAGCGAAACAGCUGGCUCUGUGAACAGGAUCAGCAAUCCAAGGAUGGACUUCUCCACCCCAAACUCCCUGAGGGUCAGGCAGGAUCCCACUCUCGGGGUCUUGUGAGGGGGUCCCCUUUCCUGCAAUUAUACAAAUGUUCUGAAAUU